CGGUCUAUUUGUGUUUGUCUGUCCUUCUUGGUCCGUCCCUGACUAUCAUGGGACAAAUGUCUUCUGUGUCACUAACACCCCUAACCUUGGUUCUUAACUAUUUUAAAGAUUUCAGAGAACAAGCCAAAGGAUUCGGAGAACCUGUCUUUCCUGGCAAAUUGUGGGCUUUUUGUGAACUUGAAUAGCCCUCCUUUAAUGUCUCUUGGCCUCCCGAAGGCACUUUUGUUCUCUCCACAGCUCAGGCCGUUUGCUGAGUCAUUUUUGACCCACCUGUCCAUCCAGAUCAGAUCAUCUACACACAAGUCUGGAUUGACCUCAUCUAGGAUCCACCCACCUGGAUCAAGAAAGUUAUCAAGGCCGUAAUCUUCCGUCCUACAGC